rnacentral:rRNA from 1 species
UACGGAGGGUGCGAGCGUUAAUCGGAAUAACUGGGCGUAAAGGGUGCGUAGGCGGUUCGUUAAGUUGUGGGUGAAAUCACUGGGCUCAACCUGGUGUAGAAUCAUGAUACUGGCGAGCUAGAGUACAGGAGAGGGUAGUGGAAUUUCCGGUGUAGCGGUGAAAUGCGUAGAGAUCGGAAGGAACACCAGUUGCGAAGGCGGCUACCUGGACUGAGACUGACGCUGAGGCACGAAAGCGUGGGGAGCAAACAGG